rnacentral:rRNA from 1 species
GACGAACGCUGGCGGCGUGCUUAACACAUGCAAGUCGAACGGAGAAUUUUAUUUCGGUGAAAUUCUUAGUGGCGAACGGGUGAGUAACGCGUAGACAACCUACCUCUCAGAUGGGGACAACAUCGCGAAAGCGGUGCUAAUACCGAAUGAUGUAACUUUUCUGCAUGGAAGAGUUACCAAAGGCGGCCUCUAUUUAUAAGCUGUCACUGAGAGAUGGGUCUGCGUCUGAUUAGCUAGUUGGCGGGGUAAUGGCCCACCAAGGCGACGAUCAGGAGCCGGUCUGAGAGGAUGAACGGCCACAUUGGGACUGAGACACGGCCCAAACUCCUACGGGAGGCAGCAGUGGGGAAUCUUCCGCAAUGGACGAAAGUCUGACGGAGCAACGCCGCGUGAGUGAAGAAGGUUUUCGGAUCGUAAAGCUCUGUUGUUUGAGACGAACGUGCAAUUUUUGAAUAAGGAAUUGUAAUGACGGUAUUAAACGAGAAAGCCACGGCUAACUACGUGCCAGCCGCCGCAGUAA